rnacentral:misc_RNA from 1 species
GGAAGGAUCAUUCACACGUUGAAAUCCAAAUCUAGUGAACUUCUGUUGUUUCUCAUCACCUAAUCUGUUGUUAAAAAUAAAAACCUUAACAACUUUUAGCGAUGGAUGUCUUGGCUCCCACCUCGAUGAAGGACGCAGCGAAAUGCGAUACGCAAUGUGAAUUGCAGAAUUCAGUGAAUCAUUAGAAUGCUGAACGCAUACUGCACUCAAGGGAUAUGCCUUUGAGUAUGCCUGCCUCAGUGUCUCCGAAUCCUCCUAAUACAAUCUUCCUGAUCAUUCGCUUGCGAGUGAACUUGUGAGGCUGUAUUGUUAUCAGCGUUACAGCUUUGUAUCGCUGCAAGUACUUGUCUGUUCAGCUUUGAGCAAUGUAGUGUAACACACAACCAUUGAGCAUAGUUGAAAUAACAGACCAAGCAACUUUCUAACCAAGACCUGAGAUCAGACAAGAUUACCCGCUGAAUUUAAGCAUAUAAUUAAGCGGAGGAAAAGAAACUAACCAGGAUUCCCUUAGUAAUGGCGAAUGAACAGGGAAAAGCUCAAAAUGAAAAUCGGGGGCGCAAGCUUCUGAAUUGUAGUCUCAAGAGAUGUUACCAGUGGAGUCGCAGGGAUAAGUCGCUUGGAAAAGCGCAUCAGAGAGGGUGAGAAUCCCGUUCUUGCUCUGCAGAACUCCACGUACGGUGCGUUUUCAACGAGUCGCGUUCCUUGGGAUUGGAGCGCUAAAUGGGUGGUAAAUUUCAUCUAAAGCUAAAUAUUUGUGGGAGACCGAUAGCGAACAAGUACCGUGAGGGAAAGAUGAAAAGGACUUUGAAAAGAGAGUUAAAAGUGCCUGAAAUCGCUAAAAGGGAAGGAAAUGGAACCAGUCUCGUUCAAUCGGUCCCCGUAUACGAAACAGUUCAGCUGGAUGUGUUGAUCGUAAGACUGCACGUUUAGUUUCUGGUAGUGUGCGGGAUCCCGGUUGGAUGUAGUCAACAUCUCUUGCUUGUGGAGGAAAACCGCCUGAGGAAGUAAUGGUUUCGGCCUUUCAAUACUCGGGACGGGACUUCGCGAGCGAGAGAGGAUCGCAGCGCGGGCUACACUUUCGAGGACUCGCGUCUUACGAUGUUGACAAAAUGGUUUCAUCUCACCCGUCUUGAAACACGGACCAAGGAGUCUAACAUAUGUGCGAGUAUGCAAUUGGCAAAAUUGUAUGCGUAAUGAAAGUGACAGUUGGGAUUUUUGCACCAACGACCGACUUCAAUUAGAGGUUUGAGUAAGAGCAUAUCUGUUAGGACCCGAAAGAUGGUGAACUAUGCCUGAGUAGGGUGAAGCCAGGGGAAACUCUGGUGGAGGCUCGUAGCGAUACUGACGUGCAAAUCGUUCGUCAAACUUGGGUAUAGGGGCGAAAGACUAAUCGAACCAUCUAGUAGCUGGUUCCCUC